rnacentral:tRNA from 1 species
AGGACUUUAGUCAAAUAUGAUAUUUAAUUUGCAAUUAAAAGGUGCGUGAGCAUGUCUUU